GCUGUGAGCUCGAUGAGUAGGGCGGGACACGUGGUAUCCUGUCUGAAUAUGGGGGGACCAUCCUCCAAGGCUAAAUACUCCUGACUGACCGAUAGUGAACCAGUACCGUGAGGGAAAGGCGAAAAGAACCCCGGCGAGGGGAGUGAAAAAGAACCUGAAACCGUGUACGUACAAGCAGUGGGAGCACGCUUAGGCGUGUGACUGCGUACCUUUUGUAUAAUGGGUCAGCGACUUAUAUUCUGUAGCAAGGUUAACCGAAUAGGGGAGCCGAAGGGAAACCGAGUCUUAACUGGGCGUUAAGUUGCAGGGUAUAGACCCGAAACCCGGUGAUCUAGCCAUGGGCAGGUUGAAGGUUGGGUAACACUAACUGGAGGACCGAACCGACUAAUGUUGAAAAAUUAGCGGAUGACUUGUGGCUGGGGGUGAAAGGCCAAUCAAACCGGGAGAUAGCUGGUUCUCCCCGAAAGCUAUUUAGGUAGCGCCUCGUGAAUUCAUCUCCGGGGGUAGAGCACUGUUUCGGCAAGGGGGUCAUCCCGACUUACCAACCCGAUGCAAACUGCGAAUACCGGAGAAUGUUAUCACGGGAGACACACGGCGGGUGCUAACGUCCGUCGUGAAGAGGGAAACAACCCAGACCGCCAGCUAAGGUCCCAAAGUCAUGGUUAAGUGGGAAACGAUGUGGGAAGGCCCAGACAGCCAGGAUGUUGGCUUAGAAGCAGCCAUCAUUUAAAGAAAGCGUAAUAGCUCACUGGUCGAGUCGGCCUGCGCGGAAGAUGUAACGGGGCUAAACCAUGCACCGAAGCUGCGGCAGCGACACUAUGUGUUGUUGGGUAGGGGAGCGUUCUGUAAGCCUGUGAAGGUGUACUGUGAGGUAUGCUGGAGGUAUCAGAAGUGCGAAUGCUGACAUAAGUAACGAUAAAGCGGGUGAAAAGCCCGCUCGCCGGAAGACCAAGGGUUCCUGUCCAACGUUAAUCGGGGCAGGGUGAGUCGACCCCUAAGGCGAGGCCGAAAGGCGUAGUCGAUGGGAAACAGGUUAAUAUUCCUGUACUUGGUGUUACUGCGAAGGGGGGACGGAGAAGGCUAUGUUGGCCGGGCGACGGUUGUCCCGGUUUAAGCGUGUAGGCUGGUUUUCCAGGCAAAUCCGGAAAAUCAAGGCUGAGGCGUGAUGACGAGGCACUACGGUGCUGAAGCAACAAAUGCCCUGCUUCCAGGAAAAGCCUCUAAGCAUCAGGUAACAUCAAAUCGUACCCCAAACCGACACAGGUGGUCAGGUAGAGAAUACCAAGGCGCUUGAGAGAACUCGGGUGAAGGAACUAGGCAAAAUGGUGCCGUAACUUCGGGAGAA
rnacentral:rRNA from 1 species